GAUGAACGCUGGCGGCGUGCCUAAUACAUGCAAGUCGAGCGAACAGACGAGGAGCUUGCUCCUCUGACGUUAGCGGCGGACGGGUGAGUAACACGUGGAUAACCUACCUAUAAGACUGGGAUAACUUCGGGAAACCGGAGCUAAUACCGGAUAAUAUAUUGAACCGCAUGGUUCAAUAGUGAAAGACGGUUUUGCUGUCACUUAUAGAUGGAUCCGCGCCGCAUUAGCUAGUUGGUAAGGUAACGGCUUACCAAGGCAACGAUGCGUAGCCGACCUGAGAGGGUGAUCGGCCACACGGGAACUGAGACACGGUCCAGACUCCUACGAGAGGCAGCAGUAGGGAAUCUUCCGCAAUGGGCGAAAGCCUGACGGAGCAACGCCGCGUGAGUGAUGAAGGUCUUCGGAUCGUAAAACUCUGUUAUUAGGGAAGAACAAAUGUGUAAGUAACUAUGCACGUCUUGACGGUACCUAAUCAGAAAGCCACGGCUAACUACG
rnacentral:rRNA from 1 species